CCUACGGGCGGCAGCAGUGGGGAAUAUUGGGCAAUGGGCGCAAGCCUGACCCAGCAACGCCGCGUGAAGGAAGAAGGCUUUCGGGUUGUAAACUUCUUUUAAGAGGGAAGAGCAGAAGACGGUACCUCUUGAAUAAGCCACGGCUAACUACGUGCCAGCAGCCGCGGUAAUACGUAGGUGGCAAGCGUUGACCGGAUUUACUGGGUGUAAAGGGCGUGCAGCCGGGAAGACAAGUCAGAUGUGAAAGCCCGCGGCUCAACCGCGGAACUGCAUUUGAAACUGUUUUUCUUGAGUACCGGAGAGGUCAUCGGAAUUCCUUGUGUAGCGGUGAAAUGCGUAGAUAUAAGGAAGAACACCAGUGGCGAAGGCGGAUGACUGGACGGCAACUGACGGUGAGGCGCGAAAGCGUGGGGAGCAAACAGGAUUAGAUACCCGAGUAGUC
rnacentral:rRNA from 1 species